AAUUUUAGAAAAAUACCAAAGGGUUGAGAGUUUUAUUAUUCCAUCGAAAUUUCUUUCUUCUUGGUUGAUUUUCUGAAGUUUUUUAGGCUUGACAUAUCUUAUGAUUUAUUUUGAGAGUUAAUAUGGAGUGGUAUUGAGCUUUGGAAAAGUUUUUGGUUCGAGUUGUUAGGGAUUACUGUUGCAUUGAAUUUUCAAGCUGUUUUCAAUAUAUCAUUUAUUGAAUCUGACUGAACUGGGUUGCCGGUGUUGGCUUAUUACUACUCUAUUGCUGAUCCUUCCUUUUCAGUUUUCGCUUUCGAAAUUCCAGGUACUUUUCCUCAAUUCUGCAGAAGUAACUCUCAAUUUGAAGAUGAAAUAAAAGCUGAAGCAUGACCAUAGAUUCCUUUGUUUUAAUUUCUAGUUCUUCAUGAUAUUUAUGCUUUCAAUCACAUGAACCAUCGUAUAAUUAACUAGAUUCCUGUGUUUGUACUUGCCUAAGACUGCUAAACAUUGUUGUUUUACUUUCUUCUAUUUUGCUCUUACUGCUGUAAUGGAUAUCUAAAUAUGCCUGUUACUUUUAGUUUUAAAUACGCUAAAUAUGCAUUAAUGAUGAAAUAAUGUCAUUCUAGCUAAGGUUGAUAUAAUACCAGUUGUAUGACAAUAUAGUUUGGUAGUCAUGUUGGCAUAUUCUAUAUUCAUGUUUCAUCUGAAUGAGUGUAAAAACAUCAAGUGAUUGUGAUGAGGGUUUUAGUAUUGAUUUUGGGGAUUCAGAGGAAGAUUAGGCUUAAAUGUGUUGGUUUGUUAGCUGUUAGUGUUGAGGUACGUCCAAAUCAGUUUAGUUUAAAAGUUUCAUCGGUUGUCAAUUGUUGCCUACAUGAGCAAAGUUGGUUGUUUAGGUUUAUGGUUAAAGUCAUGUUGUUUUGUUCAUAUGAUAUUCAAUUAAGAAUUGCAUAUUAGCAUUUCCAGUUAAUCUAAGGCUUCGAAAGUUCAAAUUCAUAUGCUGUAUAAUUUUCUCAAAAUUAGUUUCAUGAUUGUUGUCAAGUUGUGAAUUGUGAGAGCUUUCUUGCAAUUGUCCAUUGAUCAUUAUUCUGCAACUUGGCAUAUAUGGUAGUUACACUAUUAUUCUCUACUAUUCCGGUCCCUAUUUACAUGUUAUGAUCUUGUGAUAAGUCCAAAUCCCUUGUGGUAACGUGUUACAAGGGCUCAAUAUUAAGCCCAGCUUGUGUUAAUUCCAUAUAUUUGAAAUUGAGCUCACUUUGGGCCUAUUGAGUUUAAUUAAUGUCAUUUGAAGUUUCCAGUUACAACUUUCAUGCUAGAAGAGUUGGAGCCUCAUCAAAAUUUCGAAAUAACUUAAGGUCCUCACCUACCUAGUGACUCAAUCAUGAGUCCAACUUCAUUGAUACUCAUUCUCACAAUUUGGGGUCCACGUUGGGCCUAAAGUAAAGAAUAGUACCCUACAUCUUUAUAUGCAAAGCCGUAUGUCAAACCCAUAUUCUGAAAUAAGAAACACAGUAGACCUCGCCUAGUCUUACCUUCCCCUUUAGAUUUAUAAUCAAAUAUUUGGUAGUUUGCUUAGGCAAGUCUAAUAUAUUAUCGUGAUCGCGAACAUGUUCGCGUGACAUGACUACGGUUCCUAAAAAUAAAAUCAGAGUAUGCGUUCGCGCAACUUCGGCCAAACUUUCUUAAUAAUAAUAAAGCAUUAUUAAUUGUGGACACGUCCGCGUGACAUGAUUUUUGACGCGCCAAACAAAUGGGUAUACGUACGUGUAACCCGUUUUAAGACAAUUUUCUUAAUUAAAAGCAGUGAAAGAGGCAAAAGCACAUAGGUUCUAUAAUAAGUAACUAGACAAUUUGACAAGCCCGGUGUAAUUAGCGCGACUGUACUUGAACCACGGAACUGGGAAAGGCCCAACACCUUCUCCCGGGUUAACAAAAUUCCGUACCCAAUUUUCUGUGUUCGCGGAUUGUAUAACAGAGUCAAUAUUUCCUCAAUUCGGGAUUUUAAACCGGUGACUUGGGACACUAUACAUUAUCCCAAGUCGAGACUCUGGAUCUUAAAUAAUAAUCCCGUUUGGAUUGCCACUUAAAUUGGAAAAAAUCCUUUAUAUAACCUUCCGGGGGGGUGUAGUGUAAAAAGGAGGUGUGACGCCGUCGGGUCUGCACGGAACACAUCAGGAAAAUCCCUCACAAUAGAAACAAAAUCAAUACUGGGAGUCUCAGCUCCGAAAUCCCUCACAAAGGCUAGAUAUGAAAGUCAAUCCUUCCCAACCAUAUGCUGGGCCUUCAAGAAAGAGAUCACUCUACUAGGAACAUAAUCAGUUACACCUUGCCACUCGAUCCGUAGCACACCCGACAUAGCCAAAGUGACUUUCUUAGCAUGAUAGUCCAGAAUAGCACGACAUAGAAAUAACCAGUCCUUGCUCAAAAUGACAUCAAAAUCCAUUCAUGCUCAAUAGCAAUAGAUCCACUCGGGUCUCCAGACCCCCAAUAAUCACCACACAUGACCGGUACACAUGAUCUACAACAACAGUAUUGCCCACAGGGGUGGAUACAUGAAUGGUUAAAGCAAGAAUCUCCCGGGGCGUACCCAAAUAAUGAGCAAAAUACGAGGACAUAUAAAAAAGGUGGAAUCGGGAUCAAAUAAUAUAGAGGCAUCUCUGUGGCAGAUUGAAACAAUACCUAUAAUGAGGGAAUUUGAAGAAAUAGCAUCCGGUUUGCCUAGGAUAGCAUAGAAACGAGCCUGAGCACCGUCUGAUCGACCUCCCCCUAUGGGGAAACCCCUAGCUGACUGACCUCCACCUCUAGCUGGCUGAGCGGGUAGUGAUGAAGAGACCGACGCUGAAGCUGAUGACUGGCCCCUCUAUUGGACUAACUUGCAACCCAAUACGGACACUUCUUCCACAUGUGGCCCAUCUCGUCACACUCAUAAUAACUCCCAAGUGUCGGGUAAGGGAACUUAAGGGAACACCUCGCACCGGAGUGACUAGUAGAUGCACUCGGCAUAGAAGAGCCUUGAGCUGAUGGGUACAAGAUGAACUCCGAGCCGGAAGGGCACUGAUGACUGACCCUAUUGAGAUCCAUGAUAACCGUGACCUGAAGAUGCCCCACGGUAACUUGAGUGGACUGACUGAGCAAGCCUAAAUGAACGGCCUCUACCAUGCUGAAACUGGCCCCUCGAAGGAGCACCACUAUAGCUGCUCGAUCUUCGAGGCCUCUCUCUCCUCUCGCUCCUGACGAUGAACUAACUCAAUCUCAUUGGCGAUAUCAACCACCUCCUCGAAUGUAGCACCAGAUACCCUCUCCCGGGUCAUAAGAAUAUGGAGCUAAUAAGUAAGACCAUCAACAAAUCUCCUGAUCCUCUCUCAAUAUGUCACAACCAACCAGAUGUCAUGACGAACCAACUUAGAAAACCACAACUCAUAUUGUGACACAAUCAUAUCCCCAUGUCACAACCACUCAAACUGUCUAUGCAUCUUCUUUCUGCAGGACUGCGGCACAUAUUUCUUCAUGAAGAGAACGGAGAAUUGCUGCCAAGUAAGGGGCACUACACCAGCAGGCUUACGCCUCUCAACAAGUGAAGGCAGCCCCAGAAAAUUGAAAGGUAGUAAAUUGCAAUCUUUCUCCUAUGAUAAUAGACCUAGUCUGAUGAAUUUUCUCCAAUGAUCAAAAUCUUAGUCUGAUGAAUUCUUCUCCUAAGAUAGAAAACCUAGUCCGAUGAACUUUAUCCUAGGAUCAAUCUUUAGUUUUCUUAAGUUAUUAAUCUUUAGUUUUCUUUAAAUCACGGGUCCAACAUGGAGAAUAGGGUCAACUUUUACUUUAGUCAAUCUUAGUUUAUAGUUUUCCGCAAGCUCAAUCUUAAAUCUAGGAGAUGUACUUCCUAGUUUGGGUCAUCAGGUUCUAUUCUUAGUAGGCGCACUUGCUAGUCAAAUAUUCUUGGUUUGAUUCACAGGAUACGCACAUCCCAGUCAAGUCUUUAAUUUUACUCUUAUCUUUGCAUCAAUAGAAUAGGCGAUUUACAGUUUUAUUGACAACAUGCAAAUCUUUCUAGUGCAAAUUGGGGCAGAAAAUUUUGUUUGUUUUGUUGUUUUGAUUGCAGGCACCCACCUGGAGAAUGAGAGAAUUCAUUUCGGAAUUAUUUCAAGUUUUAGCAAUCAGGUUUCCACCUGAAAAAUAAGGGAAUACAAUUCAAGUUUUAGCAAUCAGUCACGCACCUGAAGAAUAAGGGAAUACAGUUCAAGUUUUAGCAAUCAAGCGACCACCUAGAGAACAAGGGAAGUCAUUUCAAAAUUCAGUUAAUGGUAGAAGUAGCAGAAGCUCGCGGCAAGAAUGCCAGUUAACAGUCUGAGUUUACCAAGAGAAGUAGUCUCAAUCCAAAAAAAGACAAAAAAAAGAAAGAAAAGAAAGAAAGUGAAUCCAAAAUGCAGAAUCAGAAAAAGAUGUGAACUGCUCAAGAUGUGGUUGAAAUCACGAGCGAUACAUGUCUGGUCUUGAUCCGAAAAAUCCAAAGAAGAAUGAACUAGCACCUGCAGCUAGCAAGCAUCAAGGUUCAAAUCUAAAGUCUGCAUGAAGAACCAUUCAAGACUCAAGAUCAAGAUUCACAAGAAUUAUAGAUAG
rnacentral:lncRNA from 1 species